rnacentral:rRNA from 1 species
CCUACGGGUGGCAGCAGUGGGGGAUAUUGCACAAUGGGGGGAACCCUGAUGCAGCGACGCCGCGUGGGUGAAGAAGCGCCUCGGCGCGUAAAGCCCUGUCAGCAGGGAAGAAAAUGACGGUACCUGAAGAAGAAGCCCCGGCUAACUACGUGCCAGCAGCCGCGGUAAUACGUAGGGGGCAAGCGUUAUCCGGAUUUACUGGGUGUAAAGGGGGCGCAGGAGGCGAUGGAAGCCAGGAGGGAAAGCCCGGGGCCCAACCCCGGGACUGCCUUUGGAACUGCGGGACUGGAGUGCAGGAGCGGCAGGCGGAAUGCCUGGUGGAGCGGUGAAAUGCGUAGAUAUCAGGAGGAACACCGGGGGCGAAGGCGGCCUGCUGGACUGCAACUGACGUUGAGGCCCGAAAGCGUGGGGAGCAAACAGGAUUAGAUACCCGUGUAGUC